AUGCACACACAUGUGCACACACAUACAACACAUGCACACACAACACACACGUGUGUGCACAUACACAUGAGCGUGCACACACAUUCACACACAUACCACACACUGUACACGUGCUCACACACACAUACCACACAUGCACACACACCACACACCACACACACUCACACACACCCACACAUGCACACACCACACACACACAUGCACACACACAAUGCACACUCACACACAUGCACACUCACACACACCGCACACGCUCACACACAUACACAUGAGCGCACACACAACACACACACAAAACGCACACUCACACACACACACACACACUCUCUCUCUGGUAAGGAAACCAAAGGAGCGGAGGACAUCAAGAUGGCGGGAGCUGUUGGUGAGGCUGGCCAGAGGCAGAAACAGCAGCGACGUCCCAGGAUCCCGGAGACAGGACAGACCGCGGUGGAACGAGGCUCCCUGAGCCAGAAGGCUGCCAGGCUGCCAGCAGCCGCUGAAAUAGCUCCGCUGGGAGAGCAGCAGAGCAGAGAUCCCGAAGGUCCCCGGUUCGGUGCUGGGUUUGGCUCUGGGAAAUAUUUUAGACGGUGCCGCAGAGUGGGCAGAGCCCCGGCCCUCCCUCGGCCUCUGGGGAUUUCUUAUUGGAGGGGUCUAUUGAUUGGAGCCCAUCGAUGGACUCUUGGGCGGCACCAGGAGGGAGGCAGCCUUGACCCAGACAGGCCGUACAUUCCAGCAGGGACAGACCGCCCGGUGGGGAGCAGCCUGGGGCUGGGCUGUUCCCUUCUGAUGGGAGGGAGGUCGAGGCAGAGCCUGUCGUGUGGAAGAGGGAAGAGCCUCGUUCUGCAGGGCCAAGAGAGAGGCGCAGCCCGAGAGGGGCUGAUGGGGCGACCCUCCAAGCAGCAGCUGGACGUCCCCUCGGCAGAGGCUCGACACCUCGGACUAAGCAGCCUCCAUGGAGCUUCCCAUCCGGAGACUGAGUCCGAGAGGCACAAAUGGCAGUAG
rnacentral:lncRNA from 1 species